rnacentral:rRNA from 1 species
UACGGAGGGGGCGAGCGUUGCUCGGAUUUACUGGGCGUAAAGCGUGCGUAGGUGGUUUCCCAAGUUAGAAGUGAAAGCCCAGGGCUUAACCCUGGAACUGCUUUUAAAACUGGGUCACUAGAGUGUAGGAGAGGUAGAUGGAAUUCCGAGUGUAGAGGUGAAAUUCGUAGAUAUUCGGAGGAACACCAAUGGCGAAAGCAGUCUACUGGACUACUACUGACACUGAGGCACGAAAGCGUGGGGAGCAAAC